CACAAUCCUCGGGUUUUAUCGCAGAAUAAAGGAGAAAGCGGAGCCGCCGACAUUAUGUAUGGAUUUGUGAAUCACGCCUUGGAGCUGCUCGUUUUGAGGAAUUAUGGACCGGAAGUGUGGGAGGACAUCAAGCGGGAGGCCCAGCUCGACAUCGAGGGCCAGUUCCUCGUCAGAAUCAUAUAUGAAGACGGCAAAACUUAC